rnacentral:rRNA from 1 species
GACUCUCAGCAACGGAUAUCUCGACUCUCGCAUCGAUGAAGAACGUAGCGAAAUGCGAUACUUGGUGUGAAUUGCAAAAUCCCGUGAACCAUCGAGUCUUUGAACGCAAGUUUCGCCCCAAGCCUUCUGGCCGAGGGCACGUUUGCCUGGGUGUCA